CAGAGGUCCCGAAGCGUUGUUCGGAUUCACUGGGCGUAAAGGGUGCGUAGGUGGUCGGGUAAGUCUGAUGUGAAAUCUCCGAGCUUAACUCGGAAAUGGCAUUGGAUACUAUUCGGCUAGAGGGUUUGAGGGGGGACUGGAAUACUUGGUGUAGCAGUGAAAUGCGUAGAUAUCAAGUGGAACACCAGUGGCGAAGGCGAGUCCCUGGAAAACUCCUGACACUGAGGCACGAAAGCUAGGGGAGCAAACAGGAUUAGAUACCCUGGUAGUCCUAGCUGUAAACGGUGCAUAUUUGCUGUAAAAGGAAUCGACCCCUUUUGUGGCGUAGCAAACGCGUUAAAUAUAGCCGCCUGGGAAGUACGGUCGCAAGAUUA
rnacentral:rRNA from 1 species